AGUGAACGCUGGCGGUAGGCCUAACACAUGCAAGUCGAACGGUAGCACAGGAGAGCUUGCUCUCUGGGUGGCGAGUGGCGGACGGGUGAGGAAUACAUCGGAAUCUACUUUUUCGUGGGGGAUAACGUAGGGAAACUUACGCUAAUACCGCAUACGACCUACGGGUGAAAGCAGGGGAUCUUCGGACCUUGCGCGAUUGAAUGAGCCGAUGUCGGAUUAGUUAGUUGGCGGGGUAAAGGCCCACCAAGGCGACGAUCCGUAGCUGGUCUGAGAGGAUGAACAGCCACACUGGAACUGAGACACGGUCCAGACUCCUACGGGAGGCAGCAGUGGGGAAUAUUGGACAAUGGGCGCAAGCCUGAUCCAGCCAUACCGCGUGGGUGAAGAAGGCCUUCGGGUUGUAAAGCCCUUUUGUUGGGAAAGAAAUCCAGCUGGUUAAUACCCGGUCGGGAUGACGGUACCCAAAGAAUAAGCACCGGCUAACUUCGUGCCAGCCGCCGCCGUAA
rnacentral:rRNA from 1 species